rnacentral:lncRNA from 1 species
CCCUCUCCCCCCUCUCCCCCUCUGUCGCCUGGCUUCUGCAGUAAAAGCUGCUUCGUGUAGAUGACCUGUCAGUUGAUUCAAAGAUGUUCGAGUUUUCAGGUAGUAGUAUAUUUACUAUCGCCAUUUAAUGAUGUGGGCUUGGCGUGCUUUCUUGAAUUCUUGUCCAGGUUCCUCUUUGGGUUUCUUUUAUCUUUUUCUUCUUCUUCUCCGUGGAGGGCUGAUCUUUGUAGACGAGAUGUGUCAGAGAAAUAAAGGCGAGGAUCUUCUCAUCAGCCUGUGAGAAUUGAAGUGUAAUGUUUUCAUAACUCUGCCCCCUCAUCCCCUCUAUCUCCCU